UCACUACCUGUUGACACAGUCCAUACAUGAUCACAGUUGCUGAGGUUAGUGUUGUGAAGUGUUCAAGAGCCUGAUGGUUGUUGGGAAGAAGCUGCUCUUGGACCCAGAGGUCACAGUUCUCAGG